CUCAUUAGAACAUAGGUCUUUAUUUGUACUAUUUUCAACACGUUGUAGAAUAAUAGUGAAGACAUCAAAACUAAAAAGUAUGGAAUCAUGCAAGAACCAAAAGGAUGUUGAGCAAUAGCUUUCAUAUUAUAGAUUAGCCCACCCUUGAGGAAAGCUUUGCACCCUCUUGGCAUUCUUUCAACCAAAAUCAUGAGGUAGUCACCUGGAAUGCCUUUCCAGCACACUUGAAGGAGUUUCCACAUAUGCUGAGCACUUGUUGACUGCUUUUCCAUCAGCCCACAAGUACAAACGCACUUACCCAUUCAAGUGAAUUGUUAAAGGUGUCCACACUUUUGACUGGUAUUCUAUAUACACGUCUUCUUCCACUGCGCCAAGGCCAAAUCGUUUUUGCCAGAUGACUGGGUCAGAGCGGUUUCAAUUUGCAAGCCAUCUGACGGCAGAACACAUGACCAGACUCUUGCUUGCAACCAUACAGACGUACAUAGGCACCCAGUCACUCAGUGUUCAAAUCUACACAUCAUUGACAAUUAUAGUGCAGAUAAUAUGUUCUACUGUUUUAGAGGCAAAAUCAUUUGCUUCUAAAAGGGUUUUGGUGUCAAUGAAUUGGCACAAAUAUUGAGGCUCCUAUUUACUCACCAUAAAUGCCUCAUUUGCUACUGUUAUUGACGUUAGCACAGUAUACAAAACCACAAUUCUAAUAACAAAGACCUCAACAAUUUGAAGACACUAAAAAGUACAUCUGUGUUGGAUGGCAUAGUUUAAAGAAGCCAUUUAAAAUAUUUCCACCAUACAAACGCAGAACAUUGCUAAUCAUAAUGAAAAGGGUAUUGGGGAAAUAUGUUAAAAGUAUUUCACUAAUAGUUAGUUUUUGAUGGUGUACUCACACUCCUACAGUGCCCACAAUAGUUACUGAACAGGAAAGGCUACAUACAAAUGUAAUUGUUGUUUGUCAGCUUGAUCUUACACUCCAAAGAAACUACAUGAAUCUAACCUUAAAUCAAGUGAAAAUUGUUCAAAGAAAAAAACUACUGUCAUGAAGAAAUAAUUGUUUCAUUCAAGAACACCAUGUGUCACCAGGUUCUCCUCCCUCCUCCAGGCUGUUGGGUAUGGCAGUAUGGGUUCUCCUCCCUCCUCCAGGCUGUAGGGUAUGGCAGUAUGGGUUCUCCUCCCUCCUCCAGGCUGUAGGGUAUGGCAGUAUGGGUUCUCCUCCCUCCUCCAGGCUGUAGGGUAUGGCAGUAUGGGUUCUCCUCCCUCCUCCAGGCUGUAGGGUAUGGCAGUAUGGGUUCUCCUUCUUCCUCCAGGCUGUUGGGUAUGGCAGUAUGGGUUCUCCUCCCUCCUCCAGGCUGUCUUUGUACACCCAGCUCCCGAGCAGUUGGGUAUGGCAGCAUGGGUUCUCCUUCUUCUCUCCCAAUCUGCUCUCAUAAUUAGAUAAAUGGAGUCCACAUUUGUGCAAUUAAGGUGUAGCUCCAACCAUAAGGACUCAGUGUUUAUUUGACUUCAGAAAAAUAAAACGUUGACAUCCCCACUAAUUUGUAUGUAGCACUGGCUGUCUAGGAAGAUAAGCCUGUUCCCUGGGCUUUGUACUUUCAGAAUAUGUAAUUUACUCGCAGAUCCUACUCUUAACAGAAUGUGAUAAUGUCAAGCUGUUUCCCGUGCAAGACAAACCUGAUAGGCCUAUGGGAAUUAAUUGGUUCACACCGUCUGGUUACCUCCAUAGACUAUUAGCUAGCGGUGGCUAAAGUGAGCUGGAGUUUGUAAUGGCUGUUCACAGUGAACUGAAACAUUUAUUGUAGUUUCUCUUGGCCAAUAGAAAAUGUAGGGAGUGGUUAAUAAACGUCCAGGGGUUGGCCUAGAGUGGUCAAACGGCCUAAGCCUCUGUCUCCAGUGCACCUGUACAGAGCAGCUUGGGUUCGACUUUGGCAGAAAAAAGUCUAUCCUCUCACUUUCCCGGCUAUCCCUGAAACAAAGCAGUGCCUUGCAAGAUUAUUCAGACCCCUGACUAAUUCUCUCAUAUUACUGAAUCACAAAUGGCAAAAUGCAAUGCUUUUCUGUUUUGUAUUUUCAAACGCUGACACUCAAAAUCAGCAUUUGUACGGUAACAUUGGUUCAUGUGGGAAAAUAUCUUUCAAAAAAAU
ensembl:lncRNA